UUUCAAGCCGUAGUCCUUGGGGUCUAUCCAAGCGGGAAUA
rnacentral:tRNA from 1 species